rnacentral:rRNA from 1 species
AACGAACGCUGGCGGCAGGCCUAACACAUGCAAGUCGAACGCCGUAGCAAUACGGAGUGGCAGACGGGUGAGUAACGCGUGGGAACAUACCCUUCGGUUCGGAACAACUCAGGGAAACUUGAGCUAAUACCGGAUACGUGCGAGAGCAGAAAGAUUCAUCGCCGAAGGAUUGGCCCGCGUUCGAUUAGCUAGUUGGUGAGGUAACGGCUCACCAAGGCGACGAUCGAUAGCNGGUCUGAGAGGAUGAUCAGCCACAUUGGGACUGAGACACGGCCCAAACUCCUACGGGAGGCAGCAGUGGGGAAUAUUGGACAAUGGGCGCAAGCCUGAUCCAGCCAUGCCGCGUGAGUGAUGAAGGCCCUAGGGUUGUAAAGCUCUUUUCGUCAGGGACGAUAAUGACGGUACCUGAAGAAGAAGCCCCGGCUAACUUCGUGCCAGCAGCCGC